CAAUUUUACAUCAGCUGUUAAAAAUAUACAUCAGUUGAAAUUAAGCAAAAACCUGGAAGUCCAAUGAGCUCCAGUGGAUGGUGCUCUUUGUAAAGCAGAGUGUGUGGCAUACAGACAGGGGUGGAGCAGACAAGGGUGGAGCAUGUGUGACACACAGACACAGGUGGAGCAUCUGCUUUUGGAAGAGUAUAAAUGUGUAGGAAUGCUUCCACUGUAACAAACAGAAAGCAACAGGACACAGAGGAAAAAGGCUGAAAUGGAUGAGCUGAGAAUAGUUUUGCUGGGAAAGCAGGGCGCAGGGAAGAGCGCUUCAGGAAACACUCUUCUUCAUAAAAAUGCGUUCCACUCAGCGGCCAGUUCAGAGAGAGUCACCAAAGCUUGUUCAAUGGGCAUGUGAACUGUAGACAAGCUAAAAAUCAAAGUGACGGACACUCCUUGAUGGAGUGAUUCUUCUGACAUCAAGAAGGAAAUCAGCCAAUGCAUUGCCUUGUCCAGUCCUGGGCCACAUGCGUUUCUCCUGGUGCUGCCCAUUGGCAGGUUUACUGAUGAAGAGAUUAACACAAUCAUGGAUAUCCUGAAGGUGUUUGGAGAUGAAGUUGACAAAUACAUGAUUGUGCUGUUCACCAGGGGUGAUGAUCUGGACGACAGACCCAUUAAAGACUACCUGCAGGACGUCCACUCCGAUUUAAAGAAAAUCAUUCAGAUAUGUGAAGGAAGAUAUCACGUCUUUAACAACAGAGACAAAAGUGAUCACCAUCAAGUCUCUUCUCUUCUGAAGAAAAUCAAUAUGAUGGUAGAGAAGAAUGAGGGGAAAUAUUAAACAACAGCACGCCAUCAAGAACUGAAGAAUGGAGAGGUAAUGUGGCUCAAAGAGAAGGAGCACGUGGUGAAUCAAUUAAAUGAGCAACGAAGGAAAAUGGAAAAUCUUCAGGAAUUAUUUGAGCAGACAAAAACAAAUUUGCAAGAUGAAAAAAGCAAAACAAAUCAUUUUUGGAGGAGAUUUAUACAACAAGUUCAAACUCUCUUUACUUCCCAAAAUUAAUCCACAAUCACCUCAUUUCUGUAAUAAACACAGUUUCAUGUAAUAAUCAUUUGUAUAUUCUCAAUUGGUCUGUGCGUAGAAGAAUCAAUCGUAGUAUGUAAUAUUUUUCAAACCGUUUUGAAGGAACUAAUUGUUUUUGUUUUGUUGUUGUUUAUGUUUUUGUGUGUAAUUUACAGUGAUUGUUUUGUAUUAUAUUAAUGGGGCUUCUUUUGCUAAAUAAAGGACAAAUAACAAAAACAA